AUCCAGCUGACGAUUCACAAAUAGGACGAAACGCGCGUCAAGCUGGAU
rnacentral:hammerhead_ribozyme from 1 species